AAAUUAAAAAAUAUAUAGGGAUUCACAUGAUCUCAUGUGGAUUUAUGGUGUUUUUAUAAUUUUAUUUGUGGAUUUGUGGUGGUGUUAAACCUGUAUUUAUAUUAUUCUUAAUGUUUGAUUUAUACUGUGUUUUUUUUUGUGAAUUUAUGGUGUUGUAUAUUAUUUUAAGUAUUGAAUUGUUAAUUGUUGAAUUAUAAUUAUAAUUUAUUUGAUUUUAUUAGGUAAAUUUGUUAAAAUUUAAAUUAUAUUUAAAAUUUUGAAUUUAACAUCAUAUUUAUUUCGAUAUCCAAAAAAUCUACCUACAAUUCACACAAGUAUUACUCACAUCUAAAUCCGCACAUUUUGUUGCGGAUCUAAUAUAGACAUGGAUCUCAAAAUGUUAAUGCAGAUCCAAAUUUAGAUGAAGCUAUUUCGGAUCCGGAUCCAAAUUUAGUCAUCAUUUGAUGAUUUUGAAGGCGCAACAGUUCCGACACCAAUUAAAAAUUUACAUUACUAAACUAAACAUAAAUAUGUAAUACGUAAAGGAGAAAAUUCUCUAAUAUUUUUAUUUCUAAUCUUAUCCGCCCAUAAUGUCAGAAAUCUUGUGGGCUAGGAGCACGUUGAGGAUAAGGCUUUACAAGUUGUCAACUUGUAAUUCUGUAAAGAAUGAUCGCCGUCAGUACAAUUUGUCAACUUGGCGUUGAAUGUUGUCAGACUUGUCAACUGGUCAAAGUUUUUAGCUAACGAAAGAAUCUUAUAAAAUCCCAAAUUAUUCUUUUAAGUAACAAAAACAUUUUUCAAACACUUCAACGCUUCAUGUAAAUUGAUAUUUGUGCUCUCUUCUUAAUUAAGUAAUCCGUAAAAUAAACAAAAUAGAACAUUUAAAGAACAAUUAUUAUUAAUAUCACCAAGCCUGCAAACAAGCCAGGACAAAUGACCGGGUUUUAUCCAAUUAAUACUUGUAAAUGAUAUAUGCGUUGGAGUUGGAUUCGGUCACAAAUGAAUAUAUUUAAAAGAAGCCCAAGCAGACGUCUACAGUAACAAAGACUUACUCAAUUAAAUGGAACUAUAUAUAUAU
rnacentral:lncRNA from 1 species